CAGCAGCCACGGGAAUACGAAGGGUGCAAGCGUUACUCGGAAUUACUGGGCGUAAAGCGUGUGUAGGUGGUUGUUUAAGUCUGUCGUGAAAGCCCUGGGCUCAACCUGGGAAUUGCGAUGGAUACUGGGCGACUAGAGUGCGGUAGAGGAUAGUGGAAUUUCCGGUGUAGCAGUGAAAUGCGUAGAGAUCGGAAGGAACAUCUGUGGCGAAGGCGACUAUCUGGGCCAACACUGACACUGAGACACGAAAGCGUGGGGAGCAAACAGGAUUAGAGACCCCCGUAGUCCCUGUCUCUUAUAC
rnacentral:rRNA from 1 species